GAAAAUACUGACUCGGACCUUUACCUUAUAUUUGCAUUGGUAUUAUUUGGGUCUCAAAUCAAAGAAAGAAAAUCAAGAAUCUGAUUAAAUUUUGUCAAAUGACCUUUUAUCAGCUAAUAAGUAUUAUGUUAAAAAAUGAAUAAGUGUUAUGGGGCAAAAUAUUUUACCUUGUAUCGUAUGGAAAACACCAAGGAGUACUAACAUUUGACACUAUAAUUCCAAACCCUCACCUAAGUACAUCCUAUCAAUAGGUUUCACUUUCCCGAUCAAAACGUGUGAGGUGAGAUAUAUUCGCAAGUUCAAUGCAUUAUGAAAACAAACUCUUUAAUUUAGACGCCCGUUAUUCCCUUUUCAUGUCAAAAUGAAGCAAAAACACCUGAAAAAACUUGUAUCUUUCUUAGUUUUAUCCUUGCCUG
rnacentral:lncRNA from 1 species